UAGCCCCCCUCUCUCUCUCUCUAACAUUUUCUCUCUCCAGUAAGCCCCUCUCUCUCUAACAUUUUUCUCGCCCGUGCGUUGCUUACUCUCUAUCUCUCUCUAACAUUUUCUCUCUCCAGUAAGCCUCUCUCGCUCUCUAACAUUUCCUCUCUCCAGUAAGCCUCUCUCGCUCUCUAACAUUUUUCUCGCCAGUGCAGUUGCUUACUCUCUAUCUCUCUCUUUAACAUUCUCUCUCCCCAGUAAGCCUCUCUCUCUAACAUUUUUAUCGCGAGUGCCGUUUCCGACUCUCUCUCUCUAAAAAAAAUCUUCGUUCUCACGAGUGGUGGCCAUUGCUCCAAGACGUUGGCGCUAUUUGAGGGGAUUUUUCACAUCUCUCUCUACAUUUGAUGGGGAUUUUUGGCACCUCUCUCUCUCUCUCUCCUAAGUUGCUAACACGCCUGUAAUCUCUGUUUACAUUGAUGCCUGUAAUCUCUGUUCACAUUGAUCUCCCUCGCUCUAAGCUGCUAAGACGCCUGUACUCUCUCUCUCUCUCUCUCUACUUCACUAAGUUCCUAGCACGCUAAGUCUCUGUUUAUACCAAGGAGUGUAAGGGCUAAGUUGCCCUUGUGACCUAAAUAGGCCAUGGAUGACAACAUGGAGUUUCAGGAGUGGGAGAUACUUCCUGAAUCUGAAUUGGGUCACCCCAAAAACUCUGAUUCCUCCGAGAAUCAAAGAAAUUCAGCAAUCGUGGAUGAAGACUCGGAAGGUAUGAUUAGACCCGAUUAUUUUGCAUAUGAUUCUGUGCACUUGAACAAAACCAACACAAAUGAAGAAAUUGCAGUUCCAGAUGAGUUGGGUUUCUCUGAUAUCGGUGUUUCCACAUGGGUCGAUCCUUGUUUGACCUCUAUUUAUGCGGCUAGGGAGGGAAAGUUCUCUGGUAUGAUGGGCUUUGGAAACGAGAAUUCGAACACCUCCGGGUCAGAGUCCGGCGAUUUCAAUGAGGGGAAAGAGGUAGAAGCCUUGGAUCCGGGUGGUUUAAUGGAAAUCAAAGGGGGGUUGGAUCCUGGCAAUAACUCAAAGGAAAGUGACCCAGAUUCAGUCAGUCUUUUGGGGCCUGAAAAUGGUUUGGGUUCAAGCUUUAGUCCAAACGAAAUUGGGCCUGAUUCAAUGAGUAUUCCAAAUAAUGAUGGUUCAGAAUUGGGCUCUGUAAUUGAAGAGAGGGAAAAAGAUGGUCUGAGUUCUAUCAAUUGUGGGUCAGAUUCCGGUGGGCCAGAGUAUGGGGGGAUUGGAGAAGUUGGUCGGAAUUUGGCAAGUGANN
rnacentral:lncRNA from 1 species